AGAGACUUCUUGAGAUUAAUACACUCGACUGGGAUGAGCUUUUGGCACCCAACGAUCCUAACAAGCUAAUGGCAACUCAAGAAGUGGGAGGAAGAGCUUCAGUUGGGCAACAGAGUCAAUGUGAAGUUAAUGGUUACAGCCUUAAUGAUGGCUCUUCAUCCAUGGCGAGAGCACCUAUAGCAUCCUUAGAAAGUUUUGUUGGCCAAGUGGCUGGCAGCGAUGCUGUGAAUUUUAAUCCUUUAAAUGACAUGUCCUUCCGUUCGGGGGAUGGUCAGAUGACUUCAAACUUUCAGAAGAAAGAAUCUGGAGUUAUGACAGUGGGUGCAGGUGAUUCUUUUGAUAGUCUUAACAAGGAUGGUCUCCAAACUCAAGACAGUUUUGGACGGUGGAUCAACUACUUCAUCAGUGAUUCUUCGGGAUCUGCAGAUGAGCUGAUGACUCCUGAAUCUUCAGUAACUAUUGAUCAAUCCUAUGUAAUGCAGCAGACAUUCAACAUAACAGAAAUAUCUCCUUCUUGGGCUCUUUCAACUGAAGAAACAAAGAUCUUAGUGGUUGGGCAUUUCCCAGGAAGACAAUCACCACUGGCAAAGUCAAAUUUGUUCUGUGUAUGUGCAGAUGUUUGUUUUACUGCAGAAUUUGUGCAGUCUGGGGUAUAUCGUUGUGUAAUUUCACCUCAAGCCCCUGGACUGGUAAAUCUAUAUUUGAGUUUGGACGGUAACACACCGAUUAGUCAAGUCAUGACCUUUGAGUUUCGAGCUCCUUCAGCACAUAAGUGGACAGAUCCUCUGGAGGACCAGUCUAAUUGGGAUGAAUUUAGAGUUCAAAUGAGACUAGCUCAUUUGCUCUUCUCUACAUCUAAGAGCCUAAGCAUUUUUUCCAGUAAAGUACACCAAAAUUCUCUGAAAGAUGCAAAGAAAUUUGUUCGAAAGUGUGCGUACAUUACUAAUAAUUGGGCAUAUUUGAUCAAAUCAAUUGAAGGUAGGAAAGUCCCUUCCAUGCAUGCAAAAGACUGCUUAUUUGAGCUGUCUUUGCAAACUAAAUUUCAUGAAUGGCUAUUGGAAAGAGUUAUUGAAGGGUGUAAGACCUCAGAGCGGGAUGAGCAAGGUCAAGGAGUUAUCCAUUUGUGUGCUAUCCUAGGUUAUACUUGGGCUAUAUAUCCAUUUACCUGGUCAGGCUUAUCAGUGGAUUACCGGGACAAGCAUGGUUGGACAGCUCUUCAUUGGGCUGCGCACUAUGGAAGGGAGAAAAUGGUUGCGACCCUUCUAUCUGCUGGUGCAAACCCCAAUUUGGUCACAGACCCCAAUUCAGAGAACCCUGAUGGAUACACUGCUGCUGAUCUUGCAUCUAAAAAUGGUUUCGACGGUUUGGGGGCGUAUCUUGCGGAGAAGGCUUUAGUUGCACACUUUGAGGCUAUGACCUUGGCUGGAAAUGUUAGUGGUUCACUGCAGACCACUACUGAACCUAUAAACCCUGAAAACUUCACAGAGGAGGAGCUGUAUCUAAAAGAUACUUUGGCAGCUUAUCGUACUGCUGCUGAUGCUGCUGCACGUAUACAGGCUGCAUUCAGAGAACAGUCAUUCAAACUACAGACCAAAGCUGUUGAGUCUGUAAAUCAAGAGACAGAAGCACGUAAUAUAAUUGCUGCUAUGAAGAUUCAGCAUGCUUUCCGCAAUUAUGAGUCGCGUAAAAAAUUGGCUGCUGCUGCACGAAUCCAAUAUAGGUUCCGAACUUGGAAAAUGCGGAAAGAUUUUCUUGCCAUGCGACGUCAUGCGAUUAAAAUUCAAGCCGUAUUCCGUGGUUACAAAGAACGGAAGCAGUAUCGCAAGAUAGUUUGGUCUGUUGGGGUGCUUGAAAAGGCAGUCUUGCGAUGGCGUUUGAAGAGGAAAGGCUUUCGUGGUCUUCAGGUUCAAUCUAGUGAAUCAGUGGAUAUCAAACCUGAUGGUGAGGUGGAAGACUUCUUUCGAGCCAGUAGGAAACAAGCUGAAGAGCGUGUUGAAAGGUCUGUUGUACGAGUUCAGGCCAUGUUUCGUUCAAAGCGAGCACAAGAAGAAUAUAGUAGGAUGAAGAUGGCACACAAUAAUGCUUCGCUGGAAUACAAAAGGCUUAUCAAUCCUGAUAACUAGAUGGGUUAAGAAGAUGAGGAACAAGUACUUCCCUGAAAUAUUUGGAGCUACAGCAGUAACCCAGGCCAACAACCACCCUCCAAAAAGCAUUGUGAUAUUGCCCCUGUCCCCUCCCACAGACGUGAUCCUAUAGAACGAAAGAGUUGCCUGGUUGAAGCUACUGAAAAAAAUAGGUUAUGUGUGCUUAUUGUGCAAAUCAGUUUGUACAUUGGUAGAGAUGUUGUAAAUUGGUAGAUUGUGUUAUCAUCGCAGCUUCGACCCUCCAAAUGUUUUAGAAAAGUGUGGGUUGGCACUCACAGUUUGACAUGUUGUACCUGUUGUGGGAGGUUAAGUGUGGUCUCCGCGAGUGUCUUGCCUGACUAAGAUGUCAAAUAUUUGCAGUACUGAUUUCAUGAUAUGUAAUGAUUAUAUGCUUU
rnacentral:misc_RNA from 1 species